rnacentral:sRNA from 1 species
CUCUUGGUUCUGGCAUCGAUGAAGAACGCAGCGAAAUGCGAUAAGUAAUGUGAAUUGCAGAAUUCAGUGAAUCAUCGAAUCUUUGAACGCACAUUGCGCCCGCCAGUAUUCUGGCGGGCAUGCCUGUCCGAGCGUCAUUUCAACCCUCGAACCCCUCCGGGGGGUCGGCGUUGGGGACUUCGGGAACCCCUAAGACGGGAUCCCGGCCCCGAAAUACAGUGGCGGUCUCGCCGCAGCCUCUCAUGCGCAGUAGUUUGCACAACUCGCACCGGGAGCGCGGCGCGUCCACGUCCGUAAAACACCCAACUUCUGAAAUGUUGACCUCGGAUCAGGUAGGAAUACCCGCUGAACUUAA